GGAUUAGAUACCCUGGUAGUCCACGCCAUAAACGAUGAGUGCUAGAUAUCAGAUUUAUAUUUGGUGUCGUAGCUAACGCGUUAAGCACUCCGCCUGGGAAGUACGGUCGCAAGAUUAAAACUCAAAGGAAUUGACGGGGACCCGCACAAGCAGUGGAUCAUGUGGUUUAAUUCGAUGCUACGCGAAAAACCUUACCAGGCCUUGACAUGGUGAUCAUAUCCCUAAGAAACUAGGGAGUCGGUUCGGCCGGAUCAUCACAGGUGUUGCAUGGCUGUCGUCAGCUCGUGCCG
rnacentral:rRNA from 1 species